GCACUUAUCUUAAUUGGAGAACUGAAACAGAGACCCGAGAUCUGAUACGGAGAUUGGAAACAGUUAUGUCUCUUAGCUGGUUGGGACCUCACCAUCGAUUUAUUAAACUGACCAUCUCGUUAGCUAGGUUUUCGGCGGAGAUCUUUUUAGUAAUAUCUAAACCAAACUUGAUAACCAGCGAAUAGCAAAUAACUAAAGGUAUGUACAUGUUU
rnacentral:lncRNA from 1 species